rnacentral:rRNA from 1 species
UACAGAGGGUGCGAGCGUUGUCCGGAAUCACUGGGCGUAAAGGGCGCGUAGGUGGCGCUGCAAGUCGGUGGUGAAAGCUCGCCGCUUAACGGCGAGUCGGCCAUCGAAACUGCAGGGCUCGAGCAGCUGUAGGGCUAAUGGGAAUUCCGGGUGUAGCGGUGGAAUGCGCAGAUAUCAGGAAGAACACCAACGGCGAAGGCAGCUCGCUAGGACGGUACUGACGCUGAGACGCGAAAGCGUGGGGAGCGAACAGG